GCGCCCGUAGCUCAGCAGGAUAGAGCAACGGCCUUCUAAGCCGUGGGUCGCAGGUUCGAAUCCUGCCGGGCGUGCCA
rnacentral:tRNA from 1 species